rnacentral:rRNA from 1 species
GGUUAAAAAGCUCGUAGUUGGAUCUCGGCGGUCUGAGGGCGGUUCGCUUGAUUGAGUGCUACUGCUCUAUAGGCCGUGGUUUUGCCAGAGGUCUCGGGGUGCUCUUAACCGAGUGUCCUGCGAUGCUGGCAGGUUUACUUUGAAAAAAUUAGAGUGCUCAAAGCAGGCUUUUACGCCUGAAUAUUCGUGCAUGGAAUAAUAGAAUAGGAAGUCGUUUCUAUUUUGUUGGUUUUCGGAAAUCGACUUAAUGAUUAAUAGGGACAGUCGGGGGCAUUUGUAUUCAAACGACAGAGGUGAAAUUCUUGGACCGUUUGAAGACAAACUACUGCGAAAGCAUUUGCCAAGAAUGUUUUCAUUAAUCAAGAACGAAAGUUAGGGGUUCGAAGGCGAUUAGAUACCGCCCUAGUUCUAACCAUAAACGAUGCCAGCUAGCGAUCUGCCGACGUUUUCUUUGUAGACUCGGCAGGAA